CUAUGGCCAUACCACCCUGAAUGUGCCUGAUCUCUUCUGAUCUUGGAAGCUAAGCAGGGUUGGGCCUGGUUAGUACCUGGAUGGGAGAGGUAUGUGGUGAUUCCUGCCAUUUAGU
rnacentral:rRNA from 1 species